rnacentral:rRNA from 1 species
UACGGAGGGUGCGAGCGUUGUCCGGAAUCAUUGGGCGUAAAGGGCGCGUAGGUGGCUUCUUAAGCGUGCGGUGAAAGCCUGGGGCUCAACCCCGGGUCGGCCGUGCGAACUGGGGGGCUGGAGCACUGUAGAGGCAGGCGGAAUUCCGGGUGUAGCGGUGGAAUGCGUAGAGAUCCGGAAGAACACCGGUGGCGAAGGCGGCCUGCUGGGCAGUGGCUGACGCUGAGGCGCGACAGCGUGGGGAGCAAACAGG